rnacentral:piRNA from 1 species
UUUCAGUCCUCAGAGUGCCUGCAACCC